rnacentral:rRNA from 1 species
GGCCUAACACAUGCAAGUCGAACGGUAGCACAGAGAGCUUGCUCUCGGGUGACGAGUGGCGGACGGGUGAGUAAUGUCUGGGAAACUGCCUGAUGGAGGGGGAUAACUACUGGAAACGGUAGCUAAUACCGCAUAAUGUCGCAAGACCAAAGAGGGGGACCUUCGGGCCUCUUGCCAUCGGAUGUGCCCAGAUGGGAUUAGCUAGUAGGUGGGGUAAUGGCUCACCUAGGCGACGAUCCCUAGCUGGUCUGAGAGGAUGACCAGCCACACUGGAACUGAGACACGGUCCAGACUCCUACGGGAGGCAGCAGUGGGGAAUAUUGCACAAUGGGCGCAAGCCUGAUGCAGCCAUGCCGCGUGUAUGAAGAAGGCCUUCGGGUUGUAAAGUACUUUCAGCGAGGAGGAAGGUGUUGUGGUUAAUAACCACAGCGAUUGACGUUACUCGCAGAAGAAGCACCGGCUAACUCCGUGCCAGCAGCCGCGGUA